ensembl:lncRNA
UUUUCUGUGAAAAUCUCAGAGAAAUUUAUUGCAAAAGUCAAUCUGUAUGCAACAUAUAUAUGUGUAACAGCAGCCAUCUGUAUUAUUAAUAACAUUACAGGAACAUUGGGUUUGUUUCCCUUUUAAAAUGUUUUAUCACCAGGUUUAACUUACAUACUUUUUUACUUACAUUAAAAAAAAAAAAAAGUAGAGAAGACUGAGGCCCUUUUCUCUUUGAAUGUGCAGUAUUGCUGCAUGCUAUUAACACUGUUUCUGGCAAAUACCCGCAGAGUGGAUAGAGGAGGAUUGUUCUGUCAAAAUGCUGUGAACACAAACAUGUUUUUAGUGGGGUUUAUGAGCUAAAAUGAGAGCAGUGUGGGAUCCUGUACAGAGCAAUGGUCAGGGCUUAAACCAAAUCUCCAGUCCUCUUCCAUUGGAUUACUUCGUGACUCAUUUCCCCUCUGGUAAAUAACAUAUGAAAGUCUCUGUUAUGUCACAUUAAGUUUCACUUUCUCAGGUUCUUCCGGAGUCCUAUCAGUUCAGUUUUCCUGUGUUUGGCCACCUGACCAAAUCAUUCCAGCCUCAUCAGUGCUAGCACACGUCCCUCCAGCAGAUGGCAGAUACUGCUCAUCCAAUGCAACCCCGACACCCUGCUCAGCACGUCAGCCGUGGGACCCGGAACACCAAUAAAACAGGAGCUAAAUCUUUAAUGUACGUAUAUUUCAAAAUGAUCUUGAUUAAAGCACAGUUAAAGUCUGGCAUAUUUAUGUUUUUAUGCAGUGCAGAAUUCCUAGAUGUAUGUUUCUCUUUAUGAUUUCUUGAAAAAAAUACUUAUGCUAAGCAAAGAUAAGCGAUCUAGCUGUUGAAAACAAACUUUUCUUAGUAGGGCUUGUUUAUGGCAUUUGAGUACAAACAUUUCCUGUUACUGAAUCACAUGAAUUGCUACUGACAAUGUAAAUUAAGAUCUGAAUUCUUUCAGACCAGAAUUCAAUUGGGUGUUUUUUUUAACGGGGGCAACUCAUACAAGCCUGGCCAAUAUAUAGCAAAUUUCAAACCCUGAUGUACUUCACAGUAACUCUUGAAAGUGAGUCUAUUUUUACUGUCAUUCUUCCUACUGUACUCAUUAAUUCCCUCUCUCCCUUAUUUAAGUCCAGAAAGUCUGAGGAGUUACAAUGAAGUUCACCUCAUGGUGUAAGAAGCUGACAGAGAACUCUGAUUUCAGUAACGUGUUUCAUUGUAUUAUUUCCUGUCCAUUGCUUAAGAGAAAUAUUCCAGCUGGAGAAAGACAGGGCAAAAGAAAUAGUAGGAGAUAGCUAGAUAUCUGCAGUCAAAAUUCUGUGACCUCUCUCGUACACUUUGAAUUAUUUUCCAUAUCUGAGCUGUGGUAUCAAAGCCCAUCCUCUGCAGGAAUUAUAUCCAAUUUCCUUUCUGUACAUCUAGACUUUUUUUCAGGAGCCAUUCAGCUGAGAAAACCAGAACUAUUUUUGCUUGGGGUCCUUGGCAUGCUAUGCUAAGGAAACUAUAACAGUAUCAUGAUUUUUUUUGAUUGAGGGUUUGAUUUUUUUUCUUUGCUGUCUGGAUCUUGUUGCAUGGUCAUCCAGGAGGCCAUUUCAUUCCAACCUUUUAUUUUAAGUUUUCUUCAUUAUUGUUUCUGAUCUUGUCUUCAGGACUCUCUUCAGAGAAUGACCAACUUCUGAAAGCAUAGAGGUAAUUCCUAGGCAGUAUCAUCACUCCUGAACAGAAAUGUUACUCUGAUGUUUAACAUAUAUAUUGAAGUACUCCACGAACACCUAGAAAUAAACAGAUCUGGAAAUUCUUAAUUCUGAUAAGAAGUUUCUUGGCAAAACUAGAUAAUAGCAGAUGAUGUUUUAUUUAUAUUAUUACUAUUGCUGUUACUACUGUGUGGAUAGAAGUUCUACCCAUGCUUACUGUUGAACCCAUUUCAUCCACCGAAAAUAACCACAAACAACUGUGAAGGACUUUUCCAUUGAGUAUCCAGCAUAAACUUGAAUGACACAGCAGCUGUUUAUGCUGAAGACAAUUUAAUCAGAAUAAGAGUUUCAGAAUUUGCUUUUGAAAUAAAGGUAUUUCCUCUGAGAUAUAUGCCAAAGGCUAAGAAUUGAAGCCAUGAGCAAGUCCUGUUUCCUCCUGCUUUGUAACUAGCAGGGAUGAAUAUCUCCAGGAUAACAUUUAACACUUUUCAAAGUCCUACUUUCAGGCCAGUGUGACAUAUGACAUUAAGUGUUUAUUAAUGCCUGCCUUCAGUAUGUAACGUUGAACUGCUAGACUUCAAAGAUGGAUAAGAAGACAAACAGCUUUUCUAUUCUAGGUUAUACGUGCAGUCAGAUGGGGGACUCAGGUGGCAGGGGAUACAUUGUUGAUCUUCUCGCAUCACACAGUUUCUUGUGCAAUAUGAUUUUUGUGAAGAAUUGGCAGCAAGUGACAACCCGUCAUAAAAUGCCUUCUCAGGAGCCAGUAUACUUGCAAAAUAUUUUCUUCAUUCUUCUAUACAUACUGUGUUGCUGUGUCAUCUCUCUGAUAAGGAUUAGGAGAUUUGUUUGGGUUUUGGUCUGGUUUGUUAAGAGCUAAUUGUUGAGUGCUCCUUACUUUUUGUGUGUCUGGAAGGAGAGAAAGACAAAGGAAGGGAAAAAGAUAAAGCUUGAAUGCCUAAGCCCCUUCUUAUCUUCCCUUCUUCCCUCUUCAUUGCUGUAGGCAUUGGCUGUCUGAAACAUGAAUGUUUUCAUGCAUAAAGUAAAACAACAAUCCUCUUGAUCUUAGGAGAGGUAGUUUUUCUUUCUUCUAGAAUGAAAACGUAUAAGCCUGAUGUGGCAUAAAUAGUGCUAUAUGUAACACAUUUAUCAUUCCUGCUCUGUUCAUCUAUACAGACCGAGGCAUGAAAGAAUAAAGCAGGAAAACAGCGGUAAGAAAGAGGAACUAUUGAGGUUUAAAUCUGAUUUAGCACUGCUGGCAGUUCUACUCUGUGGGAUUACAAUCAGCAUUACUUUACAUAAAUUUGCUUACACUAUCUGAUUUUUAAAAGUAACUUGGAAAUUGGCUGUGUCCUGGACUUUUGAUUUAGGCGUGAGAUCUCCUAAGCACAAAGUUCCUCUAUCCCCGCAUUGCUGGAACUUUAUGUACAGUAUUUCCCAGAUUGAGUAUACACAGGAGCAAGGAGUGGUGGAGAAAGGGCAGUCUGAGCCCUGUUGUGAUUUAGCACAAGUAUGAAAAAUGCAGUCUGAAUCCAGUUGGAUGUAGUAGGAGAGGGAGCACUCUUGUCGCAGUACCCGAGAUUGCAUAGAGUUGGGCUUGAGUUUCUCAGCCGUACUGCAAAGCACUGCAAUCAUCAGACAACCACAUUCCCUUCCACUGGUAGCUCCCAUGGGAGAUAGGUACCUGAAAACUUUGAAGGUCUGCGUCUACUGUGUCAUCAUCUUGGUUUCUCAAAAUCUUCCCUGGAUUCUCUGUGCAAAUACAGAGUGCUUCCUCUUAAUAGUUAAUUUUGUUUGAAUCUUUAAGACUGUAGCUCCUUAUAGUUACUGUGUUGUGCAAGCAGCUAUAUAAACAUUUGCUGUUAUUAUUUAAUGUUUUUCUUUUUCCUUUUCCAUUUGAUCUUCUCCCAGAUUAGACUGCAAGUCUCUUAGGGCAGGGACAGCAUCUAGUUGAAUUUCUGCAGGGCCUGCUAAAAGCAGCUUCAUAGGUUUCUAUGGUUCCAUAUAUAUAUGACUGAAGAUGUAGACAUCUGGACCGAUGCUCCUGCUAGGGGCCAAGUGCUGCCAUCACUUUCUGCAAGAGCAUACAACAAGACCUCCCAGCACCCUCACAGAGGAGAGAGAAGCUCUUCAGAAGAACCCUGAACCAGAACACAACAGCAGCAUUACUUCAUUGAUGAGACAACACAAUUAAUCAUAGUGUGGAAAUGCUUGUUUGGUGAACACAAGCAUCAGUCAGAAGGUCCCGAGCCUUCAUGGAGGUGGCUUUCAUCUCCACUCAUCCCAGCAAGGCUGUGCAUUCCUGUCACAGAAGAUCCCUGACACUGCGGAUGGGAAAUCCUUUCUGAUCCUGUCAGAUUGUCUGGGAGAAAGGUGCUGGUGAGAAGCAGUUUGUUUGUAGGGUGAGAGUUUGGAGAACCAGCAUCAGUCCCGAAGUGCUGAAGGUUUCUGCAUAUCCUGGUGGCCUGGGGUCAACCCUGGAGAUGCAGAGGCUCAUCCCAACUGCAGUGAAAUGUCCAUGACCACUCACAGGGAGCUGGAUCAGGAGGCCAAUUUAGCAGAAAACCAGCACUGGAAAAUGCAAACAGUUGGGUGCUGGUUUAGCUCUCCAGCCUCAUUCAUUGUUGAGUAGCAAAGAUAAUCAGUACAAGAAAAUGUUUGAGAGAAAUUUGGAAGGUGUGAUAGGAAGGUGUCCUUGUCCUUUUAAGCAGCAGCUGGCCAGAUGUGCUGCACAGAUGCUGAGGCAGUGGAGAAGCUGAAGCACCAUCUGUCACUCUACAGGGGAUUCCAUUUGUCUGGAACAUAGGGAUCAUAACUCCCUGUCCUCCUCAGCCUGCCCCUCGAACCAGGCAGCAGGAACACUUGUCCAUUCCUGUGCUAUACAGACAACACACAGUUUUUACCUCAGUACAACACACUGUGAGAAAAAUAGCCCCAAAUUGUGUUCUUUUGCAUCUGCUGAAUGUAGAUCUACGAAUCCAUCGCUCCUGCCAUCUGUGCUUGUCCAAGAGUCUGGUAAAACUGGCAUUGGAAUUCUCUUCCUAGAAUGGAAAGACAUGUGGGGUCAUUCCUAUAGCUAAUAAGGUGGAUAAUACUCAAAAUUAUGUCUACCAUUAGUGGCUGGACCACUAGUAAGUAACGCAGUAUCUUUAACCUUCCAACAAUAAACAUGAUGGAAACGGACACUUCCAGAAAUCCUUGUGGGGAAUUAUAGGCUCCCUUAAGAUGAGCUGAGGAGAGAAAAAUAAAAUUGUGCCUGAAGAAGCAUGACACAAAGAAAACCAGAUGAACCUGAAGUCCACUGAAAAUAUGUAUGCUGGUCCCCAUUUUGGAUGCAGCCAAUGGAUGCCACCAAUACCCAAAAGACCUUCCUCACAUUCCAGCUCUCUGAAGGUGGUGCCCUCCUACAGGCUCUGAAAACAGCCUGCCUGGGCCUUUGGAGUCAGCUUCCAUGCUCCUGACACUCACAGCUCUGUUUACAUUGCAGGAGGAAUAUUGAGAACUAUAUUUGGUAUUCAGUGUUUCCAUACUAAUAGAGUUGUCUAGAUGGCCACAACUCCGCACAAUCAUACUGCUACUGUUUCCUCAUCUACUGAUGGCACUCAUGCUUUCUUCCAUUUCCAGGAUCCUCUGGCACCAACUCCUGCGUGCUUCAUCCUUCUGUCCCUCUCUACCCUUCACUUUCUUGAUCCCAAUACUCCAGCUUCUCCUUAUGCAACUGAGAACAAAGCUAUAAAAAGAAGAUAUUUGUUUCUAUGUAAACUCUGUUUUCAAAGAUAACCAACCAACCAACCAACCAACCAAAAAAACAACCACCUUUAGUACUGCAAACUUUUAAAUCUUUUAAAAUAUUUCAGUGCCUGACAUUGAAUCUACUUGCAUUUAAACUUAGGGUAUGUGCAUGGGGGUGGAGUACUGUUCUGGUACACAGAGUUAGUAACAUAAACAAAGAGAAACCAACACCAGUGGGACAAGAACAAACCACAGCACAGUCCAGAGCAACUCCACUUCGUACUCUAUUUUGUAAUCCCUAACUUUUUAUCUUUAAUCUUGUUUCUAAAUUCACUUAUUCAGUCGGCAAGUACUUACACUUUUCAUAGCUUUCCACAUGGAAGACACAUGACUGAAAGUUGGGGGCUGAGGCCCUGAUCCUUUGACACUUACCAUUGGGUGUUGAAGAGGUCCCCAGGAUCUGCAAAAAGUGCAUGUUUUACAGGACUGUGAUCCUAAAAUGUAGGAGCUUCAGCAUAGGGCACGUGUUCCAUUUGUUUUGAAAAUGCUAUGGUGUUGUGCAGUUAAAUAGAAGUGAUGUGUGAUAGUGGUCAUAGCAUUGCUAUUCAUGAAGUAAUCGUGGUCAUGUUUUCCUUAAAAAGUUGUAUUUAACCAAUACCCCUCAUUACAUUAUGCUGUAACUUCUGACUGUGUUCUCAAAGUGAUACCCUGUGUAAGAAGUUUUCAGUGCCUCUUUUCAUUCUUUACAUAGUGGCAAUAAAUUUUGGCAACUCUAAAGAGCAGAACUGGUACCUCGAAAGCAUUAGAAAGGCCAGCACUACCUACACAGGCAUGCCAUUGCAUGAAGGCCUGGGCUGUCUUUGUUCUGUAAGUUAUGAGCUCAUAUGUCAACAUGGGAAAACAGAUGUUUAAAUGAAAAAAAUAAAGAAAAUGCAGAAUGAGGAAUACAUCCAAGUUCCUUUGGCAUUUGUUCAGGUGUUUCACGGACUGAGCUAAUGGUGAUCCUGUGGACUGGCUGAUUAUCAUUGGAGUCAGAUGAUCUUGUUGUAACUGUAAAAAGAAAAAAGCAAUUUUACUCAAUGCAUACAUCUUUAAUUCACUGCUGUGCUUAAUUAAAAUAGUCUUUUGCUGUCUAUUAUGAGAAGGUUAGAAGUUAAUUGACAGAAUGCACUUAAUCAUUUUCUGUGGAAGAAAAAAUUGUGUCAUCAGGUGGUCCUCUGUGCAAAAACAGCAGCACCUCCUGCACAUUCAGUGCAGACAUUAUGCUCAGCCUUCAAAGCUCUGUAAAAUCAUUUCACAUUUUGUCCAUUGAUGAACCCCUUCCAGACCCAGCUUUUACUUACCCAUGAAUGAAGUGUUGCCAUGAUUAUUUUUUUGCUUCAAGAGACGCAUCCUUUUGUCGCCUUCAUUUCCUCCAUCUGAUCCCAUGUUACUAGCUACUCGUAAGUUCAUGGCCCAUGGUGUGACAUGCCAUGUCUCUGUCUAUGAAACCAACAUAUUCCUAAAGAGUCAAUUUUAAUAGGCAUUUUAUUUUCAUCUUCCCAUGGACUAUUUUUCCUUUGUUGCCUUAAGCUGAUAUGUUGCAGGAUGAUUCACAUACUUGCUUUCUCUGACUGGAAUGUAAAGUAUUCAGUUAGAUAUCAAAUAAUACUUUUUCUUCUCUUGCUCUCAGCUUUAAAGAACAAACAGAACUUUCUAUCUCAAGGAAUCACUUUUAUUGUGACUUUGGGACCCCAUUUUGCCAGUUCCUGGUUUUCCUACACUUCUCUCAGACAACAUUCAGGUAGUAUCUCUCUAUGUUCAAUGGAACAUUUUGCUAGAAAUUUAUAUUAAAGCCAUCAGUUAGAUUCCAGUCUUCAGACUGGAGAGUUUCUGCAGCAAACCUUGCUGUGUUUUUUGAAAGCUGUGAAUCUACUGGCUGCAAAGGGUGGUUAAUUGCCUGUGCUAUCUUAAAAUUUAUGCUGAGGAAUUGGUUAGGUACAUUUACCAAAUGUAAUAAUAGAAUAAUCUGAUAAGGCCUCUCUCGCUGAACUGUUUGCCAAAAGAUGUGUUUAUAGUAUUACUUCAACAUUCUUGCAUUUUAUUAAUUUCAUUAUUAAGUCAUUUUUACCCAAUACAAUUCAUCAUGACCUUAAAAUGAAAUGAAAACAAAUGGUGCCAGAAGUAAAAGUCAACAAGGAAAGGAUGAUACAUGGCUUUCAUCCAUUUGUCCAGAGAAAUAAGAUUAAAGGCUAGGUUUUCAGCUGCUCUAAAGCUGUGCUCAGCCCAGCUGGGAGGGGUGGGGGAGCGUGGCUGUGAGCUGCAUUGUCUCUUCUGCCUGGGAAAAUACAGUUUCCAGAGAAACUGGGAGUUAACAUCUAUUAGACCAGCCCUGCACCUCACCAUGCCUACUAGUAGCACACUGGUCUUCCCAGCUUCCUAAUUUCUUGGUUUUAGUUUGUGUCUCCAGCUUGAGAGCAUCCCUUUCAUUUUUGCCAGCACCUGACUGGCCUCAUCUCCUGGCAGCUGUCAGUGCCAAGAUGGCCCUUCUCCUCUGGACCUGGGGCAGAAAACCAGAAGCCGGCAAAGAUUUGGUCUAAAAAGAGAGUAAUGCCCCUCUUCAGAUACUGAAAGGCUGCUACCAGGUCACCUCGGAACCUUCUCAUCUCCAGGCUGAACAGCCCCAGCUCUCUUAGCCUGUCCUCAUAGUGAAAGUGUUCCAUCUCUUGGAUCAUUUCCGUGACCCUCCUCUGGACACUCUCAACAGAUCCAUGACUCUCCUGAACUGAGGACUCCACAUCUGGGCCCUGUUCUCCAGAAUAAAUCCAAGAGGCAGAGCUCUAAGAACAGGGAGAGCCCUGCAGAAAUGCAUGACUGAAAGGGAUGAUGAGGAAACACAGAAAAGUGGGACUCAGAGUGUAAUGAAUGCUUGAGGUACAGAAAGGUUCUUGUUAUGAAAGUUUCUAAUAUGGAUCUAAGCACUGUAUAGAGAUCAACGAGAUGAGCGUCACAAUUCUGGAUACUCCUAUAGUAAAAGGCAGUCAAAAGGAAGAUAAUUUAAAGUGCAAUAGAAAUACUUGUGGAACAAAAAGGUUUAAAGGAUAUACUACGUUUCCAGAGAAGGCAGGCAUCAGAUGAUCAGAUCCAGUUAUGAAACAGAUAGCUUUCCCCACAGAGAGCUUUGAGCUUUUGUCAGA